AAGCAGCUUCAAAAUCAUUAUCCUUAGCAUCAUUGUUCCAUAACAUAAAAAUAUCAUCUACAUAUCUCACAUAAAGUUUUAAGUUUGGUUCAAAUUUUUGCAGGAUUGGGUUUUCUACUUGCCUCAAGUAUUUCUGCUAGUGGACCGGCCAUUGGACUUCCAAUUGGUACUCCAAUGGUCUGUUGGUAAUCUUAUCACUAUGCAAAAUAGCUAGUGUUAUGACAUAUAACACUAGCUAUUUUGCAUAGUAACAGAGCUAUGUCCUGGGCUGCUGGUGUAUUGGUGAGAAGGAACUUGUAGAAAGCUAAACAGAUAGUCUUAAGUUUGAGAGAAGGAUAAAAGCUUUCGAAGUCAUAAGUGACAAUAAGGUCAUCUCGUUUCCAGUCAUCUUUCUUUAUUCUAUCCAAGGCCUCCAUGGUUAUUGUGGUGGGGUUCUUGCUUUGUCCUAAGAUUGAAUUACACCAUUUGGCUAGUAUUCUCUCAAGCUUGUAUGUAGGUGCUUUUCUUUUUUCAACGAUUGGUCUUGCCCCAAUAGAUUUGUUGUGUGUUUUUAUGAAGGCAAAAAAUGUAGGACAGGCUGGGUCUGAAAUUCUUGCAUGCUUCCAAAUUUUCAGGAAGGAUUGAUGCUUUACUAAC
rnacentral:lncRNA from 1 species